rnacentral:rRNA from 1 species
AUGUGGGCAUCGCAGCCGCAGCCCAGCUGCCGCCCUCCUUCGCGUCCUGCCGUCGCCACGAACCCUCCCCGUAACAGGAGCUCCGCGGUCUUCCGCACGGCCGUGGGCGUUUUGGAGUCGUAUGCCUCCUGCACACAUCGUGGUUUCCACCAAGUCCACCGAAGGCCACCCUACAACAACUACCAAGUACCCCUUCGUUUCGUCUAA